AACAAUAUGUACCAAGAAGUGGUAAAACUAUACAUUGGCCUGAUGAUAAAGGUCCACCUCCAGACGUACCAAUAUGUGGCUUUAGAUCAGAUAUGUGUUCUUCUUCAGGUAUUUCAGAUUUUACCGUUACAGUUUUAUGUGUUGGUUUUGCCGUUAUUAUUAUUACGGCUAUAACCAUUGUAGGUUUCAUUUACAGGCGAUGGAAGAGGAAUAUGGAGUCUGACAUGUGGUGGUGGAGAAUAGCAAAGGAUGAUCUAGACAUAGUAGACAAACAGGAUUUAAACAGUUCGGCGAUAUCUUUUAUAUCUAAGCUUACUUCUUUGAAGAGUGACGCAGGAGUUAAUAUGGAUAGAUUUAUAGAUGUGGCGAUGUUUAGGGGUAUCAUGGUCCAACUUAAAAAGUUAGAUUUGAAAGAUGUCCCUCUAACAAAGAGACUUUUAGCAGAAUUUAAAGAGAUCCGGGAUGUCAAUCAGACCAACAUUGCUAAAGUCUUUGGUGCAUGUUUGGACCCUGGCUUUAAAUGUAUUGUUAUAGAACAUUGUUCUAAGGGAACUCUACAGGAUAUACUAGGAAGUUCAGAGUUAACAUUAGACGCCCACUUCAAGUUCUCUCUCGCUAUUGACAUUGCACAGGGUAUGGCAUAUAUUCAUCAAAGUACCAUCCAUCACCAUGGUAAAUUAUCUAGUGUCGUCUGUUUAAUAGAUAAUAGGUUUUGUGUUAAAAUAACGGAUGUUGGGUUAAGGUAUUUGCAUGAAAAUCUCAAU